rnacentral:rRNA from 1 species
AACGAACGCUGGCGGCAGGCCUAACACAUGCAAGUCGAGCGGACCCUUCGGGGUUAGCGGCGGCCGGGUGAGUAACGCGUGGGAAUAUGCCCUUCUCUACGGAAUAGUCCUGGGAAACUGGGGGUAAUACCGUAUACGCCCUUUGGGGGAAAGAUUUAUCGGGGAAGGAUUAGCCCGCGUUGGAUUAGGUAGUUGGUAGGGUAAUGGCCUACCAAGCCGACGAUCCAUAGCUGGUUUGAGAGGAUGAUCAGCCACACUGGGACUGAGACACGGCCCAGACUCCUACGGGAGGCAGCAGUGGGGAAUCUUAGAAAAUGGGGGCAACCCUGAUCGAGCCAUGCCGCGUGAGUGAUGAAGGCCUUAGGGUUGUAAAGCUCUUUCAGCUGGGAAGAUAAUGACGGUACCAGCAGAAGAAGCCCCGGCUAACUCCGUG